UUGCUAUGUUACAUCAACUCUAUGAGACCAGGCUGCCCAAGUGGUCGCAUUUGAGUGCUGCAGGUCUGAUCUCUGUUCAUACAGGGAGGAAGUGUAUCAGUGGUGACACAAUGUGGACCAACUGGUUCCUGCACCUCGACUCUCACACAGUGAGCCAAACAAGGAAGAAGGUGGGCAGAGCCAAGCACAAGGAAGCCAGAUUCUAUUGGCCUGUUUCAGCAUGUAUUUGCAUAUUUCCCUUAUGGAAUGGCUACUCCCUGAAAAUAACUUGGAUUAUCCUUUUUAAGAACUUAAUUUUUUAGAAAGGUUGGCAAAAAAAAUGAGUGUCUUUUGGGAGAGAGAGGAGGGGACCACUGCCUCUAAAAUGAGUGUCUUUGGGGAGAGAGAGGAGGGGACCACUGCCUCUAAAAUGAGAACGACCUACACGUUGAAGCUGUGGGGAGAGACCAGACUCCCCUGUACCCAGCUGUGUAUCCAUGAAGAGUGAACAGUCUAUGGGGAAACCAAUCAACUUCAGUGUUGGACACUUCUCUACUAGCAAGGAGACCAACAGGAGAGAUCAGAAGCAGAUAUUUCCAGUGGUCAGUCUUCCCAAAGUCAUACAACAGACCUGGACUCGAUAUUCCUCAUGGGGCGGCAGGCAGCCUAGUGGUUAGAGCGUUGGACUAGUAACUGAAAGGUUGCAAGAUCGAAUCCUGGAGCUGACAAGUCACUUGAAGAGACUGUCAUCACUUUAGUGAAGAAAGAACUGAAGAGUUUCAAGAGGAUUCUGAGUCCAGAUCUCCCAGAAUGCUUAGAGUCAGAGAGAGGAUGCUGAAGAUGAGAAGCAGGAGAGCAGGGCC